rnacentral:rRNA from 1 species
AUUGAACGCUGGCGGAAUGCUUUACACAUGCAAGUCGAACGGUAACAGGUCUUCGGAUGCUGACGAGUGGCGAACGGGUGAGUAAUACAUCGGAACGUGCCCAUGUCGUGGGGGAUAACGUAGCGAAAGCUACGCUAAUACCGCAUACGAUCCAAGGAUGAAAGCGGGGGAUCUUCGGACCUCGCGCGAUUGGAGCGGCCGAUGGCAGAUUAGGUAGUUGGUGGGGUAAAGGCUUACCAAGCCUGCGAUCUGUAGCUGGUCUGAGAGGACGACCAGCCACACUGGGACUGAGACACGGCCCAGACUCCUACGGGAGGCAGCAGUGGGGAAUUUUGGACAAUGGGCGCAAGCCUGAUCCAGCCAUUCCGCGUGCAGGAUGAAGGCCCUCGGGUUGUAAACUGCUUUGUACAGACGAAAAGUCUCUCUCUAAUACAGAGGGAUCAUGACGGUACUGUAAGAAUAAGCACCGGCUAACUACGUGCCAG